rnacentral:rRNA from 1 species
GAUGAACGCUGGCGGCGUGCCUAAUACAUGCAAGUCGAGCGAACAGACGAGGAGCUUGCUCCUCUGACGUUAGCGGCGGACGGGUGAGUAACACGUGGAUAACCUACCUAUAAGACUGGGAUAACUUCGGGAAACCGGAGCUAAUACCGGAUAAUAUAUUGAACCGCAUGGUUCAAUAGUGAAAGACGGUUUUGCUGUCACUUAUAGAUGGAUCCGCGCCGCAUUAGCUAGUUGGUAAGGUAACGGCUUACCAAGGCAACGAUGCGUAGACGACCUGAGAGAGUGAUCGGCCACACUGGAACUGAGCCACGGUCCAGAGUCCUACGGGAGGCAGCAGUAGGGAAUCUUCCGCAAUGGGCGAAAGCCUGACGGAGCAACGCCGCGUGAGUGAUGAAGGUCUUCGGAUCGUAAAACUCUGUUAUUAGGGAAGAACAAAUGUGUAAGUAACUAUGCACGUCUUGACGGUACCUAAUCAGAAAGCCACGGCUAACUACGUG